CCUGGCUGCAGAUCGCCGUUCCGGUUUAAAUCCCUCUGCUGGGGGGGGGGCAGGUGGGAGGUUUAUACUGCUGGCCCUGGGGGCCUGGCCCGCGGUGCCGUGGAAGGGAGCGGUCGUCCAGGCCCUGCUGCGUUAAACCUCCCUAAAGGAUUUAUCCUGGCUGGCCGGCCCCGUGGCCUUGCCAUGACGAAGCCCGGUCUGUGGCUAUUUCUAACCUGCAAACACGGAAGUUUUUCUCUCCAGAAGAGACCACAGCUUGCGGCUAGUGAACCGUUCUCCCUCUGUGCUCUCCUGCACAUUUCUGAAAACGGGCAGACAAACUGAACUAACGGAAACUUACAGAGCUAUUCAGUGCAAGAUACGAUUCCUCAUCUCUUUCCACAGCAGAAUCAGUGCAGUUUUUACUGGUUAGAUGAUGAGACUUCUGCAAAGGGCGUGCUUCAUUUGUUCCUAAGAACACAGGUACCUCUUCAGUGGAUAGUGCAGCACUCAAAACGUGCUUUUACUUUUCCUUAGUUAUUGGUGGUGUUCUCCUCAAAAUAUUUUCUGCUCAAGUAGAUCUCUCCUGCUGAUAAUUUAAUUACUCUGGGUUAUUCUAGGUAUCAUAUGGAUGACAUGGAUGAGGCAGAGGAAACAGAAUGGGGUUGUCAUGAUUACUUAUUUUUCGUGCUUCCAUUUAAAAUAUAUCGAAAGGUAAAAAUUUGCUUUGCAGAACGUCAAUUAAUGCUCAUACUUCAGCAUCUUAC
rnacentral:lncRNA from 1 species